UACGGAAGGCAGCAGUGGGGAAUAUUGCACAAUGGGCGCAAGCCUGAUGCAGCCAUGCCGCGUGUAUGAAGAAGGCCUUCGGGUUGUAAAGUACUUUCAGCGGGGAGGAAGGCGGUGAAGUUAAUAGCUUCACCGAUUGACGUUACCCGCAGAAGAAGCACCGGCUAACUCCGUGCCAGCAGCCGCGGUAAUACGGAGGGUGCAAGCGUUAAUCGGAAUUACUGGGCGUAAAGCGCACGCAGGCGGUCUGUCAAGUCGGAUGUGAAAUCCCCGGGCUUAACCUGGGAACUGCAUUCGAAACUGGCAGGCUAGAGUCUUGUAGAGGGGGUAGAAUUCCAGGUGUAGCGGUGAAAUGCGUAGAGAUCUGGAGGAAUACCGGUGGCGAAGGCGGCCCCCUGGGACAAAGACUGACGCUCAGGUGCGAAAGCGUGGGGAGCAAACAGGAUUAGAUACC
rnacentral:rRNA from 1 species